ACCAUUCAGGACUUGCGGGACAAGGUUCUUGGUGCCACCAUUGAGAACUCCAGGAUUGUCCGGCAGAUCGACAGC
rfam:Callithrix jacchus chromosome 4, whole genome shotgun sequence